GACGAACGCUGGCGGCGUGCUUAACACAUGCAAGUCGAACGGUAAGGCCCUUCGGGGUACACGAGUGGCGAACGGGUGAGUAACACGUGGGUGAUCUGCCCUGCACUUCGGGAUAAGCCUGGGAAACUGGGUCUAAUACCGGAUAGGACCACUGCCUGCAUGGGUGGUGGUGGAAAGCUUUUGCGGUGUGGGAUGGGCCCGCGGCCUAUCAGCUUGUUGGUGGGGUGAUGGCCUACCAAGGCGACGACGGGUGGCCGGCCUGAGAGGGUGACAGGCCACACUGGGACUGAGAUACAGCCCAGACUCCUACGGGAGGCAGCAGUGGGGAAUAUUGCACAAUGGGAGCAAGCCUGAUGCAGCGACGCCGCGUGAGGGAUGACGGCCUUCGGGUUGUAAACCUCUUUCAGCACCGACGAAGCGCAAGUGACGGUAGGUGCAGAAGAAGGACCGGCCAACUACGUGCCAGCCGCCGCCGUAA
rnacentral:rRNA from 1 species